CCGCCCGGGGCAGCCGCUUAACACCCACGUCCGCCGCGGGCCGGCCUUCCGCCCCGCACUCCCGCGGGGGAGCGCAAAGGGCGGCGGCCUCUGGGGCUCGGAGCUCCCCUGCGGCGGGGGGCUGGCAGCGCGGGGCCGGCGCGGGGAAGCGGAAGUCCGCGGCUUAGGCGGCGCACUCGGCCCCGCGCAGGCCAUGGAACCCCCGGCCCGCGCGCCCGCGAGCUGGAGGACCCGGAGGACAGGGAGCCCGGGCCCCCGGAGUUGCUUCCCUUUGUCCAGUUUCCCGGAGGACUCCUGAGAGGCUGGACCCCAGCUGGAACGCAGGGCGGGGGUUGGUGGUGCUGGGAGGACCCGCUGAAGUCUUAUCAGACUCCAUGCCCAGCGCAGAGUCCAACACAGGGCUUAAGACCUGAGCUGAGAUCAAGAGUUGGACGUUUAAGGGUGCCUGGGUGGCUCAGUCGGGAGGCACCACACCCAGCCUGGGGCUCAAACUCAGGACCCUGAGAGUCAAGAUCAAGAGUCACAUGCUCAAUCCACAGAGCCACCCAGUGCCCUAGGUAUUGCUUUUUUGUUUUUAAGAUUUUCUUGAUUUAUUUGACAGAAAGAUACAGCAAGAGACGGAACACAGUCGGGAGUACUGGGAGAGGGAGAAGCAGGCUUCACACCAAGCAAGGAGCCCGAUGAAGGGCUGGAUCCCAGGACACUCAGAUCAGGACCUGAAGGCAGACACCCAACAACUGAGUCACCCAGGCGCCCCAGUAUUGGUUUUAUAUAAACUUUAAAAUGUCAAAAGUUGAAGGUAAUGGAUACUUGUUGAAGCACAAUAGUAACUCAGAACAACACAUUAAAGUAAUAUAUUAAAGUAUAAAUUAAGCACAAUACUAACUCAGAACAUAUUCAGUUAAAUAUGUAUUUUAUAUAUAUAUUUAUGUAAUGGGUAAAGGAGAGGGGUGGGGAAAAAAAGAGUGGCGGUUAUAGUUCACUGGAUUUUUAGAUGCCAAUUUAUUUCAGAAACUAUAUAUAUUGCAAGCCAAUAUUAAAGUAGCUAAAUCUCUCCACAUAUCAUGAUAGAUCCAUCGGAUGGAAUAGUACUCAGCUCAUGCUAUUCACAUGAAGGAAACAAUGAAAAGUUGGAUUAAAAAACAAAGGGAUGCUCUGUAAUACUCCUUUUAUACAACUUCUGGAACACGACUGGAAUUAAUAAAGCAUUCCGCGCUGCCCACACCAUCUCAGCUUCACUCCGCUAAACUGGAAUUGCAUGCUUGGUGAACAAGCUUCGUGGUGGCAGAACGUCGGGGUUUAACGCCAGUAUCGGUGCAGUGGGAGUACUUUAAAUGACGAAUCAAAGAAAAAAUGGAGGCAGGAAUGAGACUGUUAUAGUCUCGGGAAGUUAAAAAAAAAAAAAAAAAAAAGGAGUGGGUGAGACAACUUUGCUUCUGGAGCCCGGACUGAAUGGGGGGAGGCGUGGCGGAGCGCUCGGGACAGGGGCCAACCUUG